rnacentral:rRNA from 1 species
GAUGAACGCUGGCGGCGUGCCUAAUACAUGCAAGUCGAGCGAACAGACGAGGGUCUUUCUCCUCUGACGUUAGCUGCGGACGGGUGAGGAACACGUGGAUAACCUACCUAUAAGACUGGGAUAACUUCGUGAAACCGGAUCUAAUACCGGAAAAUAAAUUAAACCGCAUGGUUCAAUAGUUAAAAACGGUUUUGCUGUCACUUAUAGAUGGAUCCACGCCGCAUUAGCUAGUUGGUAAGGUAACGGCUUACCAAGGCAACGAUGCGUAGCCGACCUGAGAGGGUGAUCGGCCACACUGGAACUGAGACACGGCCCAGACUCCUACGGGAGGCAGCAGUAGGGAAUCUUCCGCAAUGGGCGAAAGCUUGACGGAGCAACGCCGCGUGAGUGAUGAAGGUCUUCGGAUCGUAAAACUCUGUUAUAUGGGAAGAACAAAUGUGUAAGUAAAUAUGCACGUCUUGACGGUACCUAACCAGAAAGCGACGGCUAACUACGUG